CACAGUGCUGGGAAACCUAAACAUCUACAUCUUUUCUAUUCUUCUUGUAGGCCUGUCAAUCAUUGAGAAACUUAUGCAGAAAAAUGGGAGAAGAAUAAAAUAUAAAGCACCAAUUUUAUAAGAAUUCCACACGGCCUUAGAAGAACUGUGAGUCCGAGUCUACAAUUUGACGAGUAUUCAGAGAAGUGACUUUGGAACAAGUGAUGGCUGAGGCACUACCCUGCAUGCUACAGGACCAAGAGGGCCUCUCCGUGCCUGUAGACAGGCUGAGGACUUUUGCUGCCUAGUAAUAGGACGUCUGUUUACAGUUGGAAUGUGAUCCAGAUUCGCUCUCACAGUGACUUCGCUGCAAAGUUAUAACACGUGGGUAUGCGUAGCGCUCACCUGAUUUUAACCACCAAAAGCUGCUGAUAAUCCACAAAGGAGCC
rnacentral:lncRNA from 1 species